AACGAGACAGAGUCCAAGUUCUAAAAUUCUCCAGUAGAAUGCCCUGCUUUUAUUUCAUCACACUCACAACCGUGAGCUAUUUUCUGUAAUUGGCUCACCAUUAUCUUUUUAAUAAUGAUCUAGUUGUGAGUUUAUUUUCCAGUAAUAAUGAAGACAAAUGAGGUAAAGUGAAUUUGUUGUCAGCUAUAUUAUGAUAUUAUACACUGGCUAGCCAGCUAACGUAACAUUAGCUUGCUAACAAGCUAGAAACUAAUCAAAAUAUUGUUUAGAAAGUUGCUUUUAGUUGCCUGGUUUACUAGAUUUACAUAUAAUUUCAUUUUUAAACAGGUGGUUUGAUUGGUGUUAAAAUACACUAGUUAUGCUAUUUUGGACUACCAGGCUGCUGAUGUCAUGCAGCCUGUCAUUUUUGUGUUUAAACUUUUUCAUAACGACAAUGACAAGUUUGAUGUCAGACGACAAUAGGAUGUUCAUGAUAUCACUGCAACAACUGUCAUAGAUAGACAUAGUAUAAACCACCUUUUAGUCUUGAAAUCGCCUCAUGUGAAUAUUUAAAGAGAUGGGUGGGGCUAAGGCUUAAGAAGGUGUGAACGAUGCUGAAUGGGUGUAGAAAAAUGAAAGCUCUCUAGGUUUCUAGGUUUACCAAAACAUUCAAGCGAAAUUUUCUUAAACGUGAGGUUACAAGUUUAUCCAUUUUCAAAGCAGAAAUACUUUCCCAUUGUUCCUCAACUGUAGUGUAUGAUAUGCCAUUUUCUAGCUCGGAGUUUCUACUUUUAUCCAAUGUAAAAAACACAAUUUCAAGUUUUGCUACAUAAGAUCAAGCCGGCCGGUCACAUAUGGCAAAGUUGUUUCCUACUAAUUAUUUGCCAACUUUAGCAUGUCAACAUAUUUCCAUGCCACUCUAAAUUAGUGUCAUUUAGACAACAGUCACAUUAGCCUCUGAAGUUCAACCCAUGUUUAGGGCACACAUAAAUAUUGGAUGCAACUAUGGUGGUACCAUCUAACUUAUGUAUGUACUAACUAGCAGUAACAAACCAACCCAGGGCCAUAGCAAAACAUAUGACAGUUGGUUGCAUACUGUAACGGUGUCACCGGCCUUAAUCUAAUCUGGGUACCAGACUGAUCCCCUGGUCAUGAACAGAUGCCGGGACCUUCCAGAAGGAGCGAAGGUGGGUAUCAUAUAGUGCUGAGCGAUUAGUGCUUUUUGAGGUCAUUUCGGUUUGAUUAUUUAAAAAAAUGCUUUAUCAUGAACUGUUGACAUGAAAUGCACUAUGAAUUAUGUGGGUUGAAAGCUGUAACAACACAGAAUAAAACAAUGAAUUAAAGUCCCAUGACGGUAGUGACUGCCCACUACUGCUUAUCACUUAUUAACCAUCCUUUAUUCAUAUUGCACAUUACUUAAAUAUUUGUUUAAUUUGAUGACUUUAUUAUUUCAUUCCAAGUCAUCAUAUCAUCUCUAUAGAGCUGCUCCCUAUGCCAUCUGACAAAAUCACAAUUUUAGUAGCUCUUCAAAGUAAAUAAGGCAUAUUUCUAUGACUGCUGAAAACCAACUAUCAAUCACUUGGAUCAUGUAUUUCAGGUAGACAUACUUUGCGAAUACAACUGCUUUCUAUCCCUCUUGAUUGCACAUUCUCUGUUCUGUCAAUUUCUGUGGGUCUCAGUGCUCCACACAGACCAGUCAAGUAAGGUGGGCACGCAAUGGAUUAUCGUCAUUGUAGUUAAUUACCACGUUUUCUGCGCUAAACUAUGUAGAAUAUUGGCCUGUUGAAAACUACAACUCCGUUGUUGCCAGAGUUUCCCUCGAUUGCUAUGAAAAGGACACGCCAUCAUGAAGGCUCUGAUAGUAACCCGAGUUACUGCCCUGAUGACACAGCUUCAUCAACAACGACAGGUAAUGUGUGUUAUGUGAAAAGUACUAUUAGCUUGAUAAACUAGUAGGCUAAUUCCCCAGCCAAACAAAUACAGCUAGUUUUCAUUUUGGUUGUGAAGUGCAUGAGCAAAAAGCUUUGUCCUUUCUUUAGAACAAAAUGCAAUUUACCACUUGGCAGUCUAUUAUAUCACCCUGUCACAGGCUCUCUCAGUCAACACCACCUCAUAAGAUUGCCUGCUGCAGUUGUUCGAGAGCUAUCUAGUUUGCAGCCAAAAAUGUAGCAUUGAAAAGUCCAACAAGUGGGCUGUCAUCAGCAUCAUGCAGACAUGACCUCGCUGUGAGCAUUCCUAUCCGGCCAGCAACAUUCACCUGUCAUCAGCAUCAUGCAGACAUGACCUCGCUGUGAGCAUUCCUAUCCGGCCAGCAACAUUCACCUGUCAUCAGCAUCAUGCAGACAUGACCUCGCUGUGAGCAUUCCUAUGAAUGUUGGCAAGUAUCCGGCCAGCAACAUUCACCUGUCAGCAGCAACAGCUUUCACAGGCUCAUCAUUUGUACAAAUGCAGCAGGUAACCCACUUCAUUACAUUGAUACGUUUGAUAACCCAAUUGUGAAACAUAAUUUAUUGAAACUGACAUUAUUUGUUGCUUAUUUUCUACUUAGAUGCAUAUAAUGUCCAGAGCAUAACCUAGUGGAACCAACUUGAUUGCUGUGUUCACCAUUCUAUUUCACUUUACAUUUUAUGAUAACUGAAGUGAAAUAGAAAGGUGUGUGUGUGUGUGUGUGUGUGUGUGUGUGUGACCGAACAGUAUCUUUGCUGAGGGGCCAUGGACUGAUCUAUGCUGCCAUGCCCAUCGAUGGGAUGCUGGCGAAGACCUCACCCCAGCCUCACAUCUUGCCUGCUCACCAACGGGCGUCGAUAUGGAGAACAAACUUCAACGUAGUAUAUAUUUGUGUGUCAGAUAUCACCUAUCCCUAACUCACGUAGGUAAUAGAACAGUGACUGAUACUGUGUGUGUUCACAGAUGCAUGAGAUGCAGAUCUGGCGCUCAACACAUCCACAAUAAGAUGGACUGGAGAUGCUUUUGCCAGACAGGCAGCCUCAGGCGUUUGAUCGGGAGACCAUCAUUGGAAACAUGUAUGGAGCCAGCACAUGGAGACUUGCAAGGUGAUGUGAUGAAGUCCAGACUGACAGACGGGCUUGUUACUGAUGUCUCUGAAUGAAAAGAGAUUUGGUAUAAAAGUUUUACUAGACACAACUUUUACUUGUAUUGUCUUUUUUAAAGUUUUUUAUUGAAUUGAAUGGCAUCAGUCAAUAUGGGGAGGUAGAAACCCUGUGUAUUCUGCAACAGGAUCAGGGAACUCCUGUUGUAUACGUGACGCCACACAGGAAGGUUUGACCACUCUUGACAUGUUUGCCAAGGUAGCCCCAUUACCACUAGACCGUAUCCAUAUCGGCUGGGAAUGACAAUGAAAGAGGAAAGAUUGUUAUAUUGGUAGAACACUGCUUCUAUGGUAUUAUGGAAAAGGUUGUUUAUUCUACAUGGGCCUGUUUCUACAUUUGAAAGUUAUUAAAACCCUGUAAAAACAACACAUUUCCCUGCACCUAUUUGGUGUAUGUGACAAUAAAACAAGGGCACACCCAAGAAACACCCACAUCAAACCACACCCCUCAGCCAACUCACAUUUGGCUUCCGUAAUGGCUGCCAGUAUUUCUUGAGGAGUAUGCCAGAAAAAAAAGAGGCGAAAUCAGCGGGUGCAGUUCCUCUUUAAAACCAGCAUAAACAAGUAAUAGCAACGUAGAGAAAAUCUGUGAACUCUUUUCAGCUAACCAGACAUUUCUUUGAGGCCUACAUUGUAGGCAUGCUCCCUACACACUCUGGCUUACAUCUUGGUUAUGAAACAAUGAUUGAUUAGGGCUAUGUUACAGGAAGAAAUGUGCGUAAUUUAUGAUUCUCAUAUGCACUCCAGUCUAAGAUCAGAGCAUGCUGCAACUCGCCCACUCUUGGGUUAAUUUGAGUGUCUGGACAGAGUAUCAGCACUCACACACACACACACAC